UAAUUACUCCCUCCGUCCAGAAAUACUUGUUAGAGAAAUGAAUGUAUCUAGGCAUAUUUUAGUUCUAAAUACAUUCACUUUUAUCUAUUUGUGCGACAAGUAAUUCCGGACAGAGGGAAUAUUAU
rfam:Triticum aestivum genome assembly, contig: Triticum_aestivum_CS42_TGACv1_scaffold_640987_T_2BS-0.164406_7DL-0.086400